UCCGGUGCUGUCAUCUCGGACCUUGAAUCUCCUUCUCCCCCUAGUGGUGCUGCAUCCUUUGGCUCCUCCGACUACUUCCGCUCCUUCUACGACUUUGACGACUUCGCGAUCAAUAUCCUCCCCCUCUAUCAUAAUAAUUUAUUAUUUUUAUUUGAAAUGAAUAGAUAAAAGGGUGGUUGAUGGGGUUCUAUGAUGUGCUCCCCAGAUGGAAUUCUAGCUCUUUGAUUAUACUGCUAUUUUUGCUUUUUUGCAUAUUGAUAUAAGAAAGCGAUGAUGU
rnacentral:lncRNA from 1 species